rnacentral:lncRNA from 1 species
AUGGGGAAAAAAAGAAGGCUAACACAGAUCAGAAGAAAAAUGGUGUGGAAAAACAAAAACAAUGAUUGGACAUGGAAAGCUGAUUAUGGUUUUGUGGUAGUAGAGUAUUACAUGUCAAUAAUCCAUGUUCUCUCCCUUCCCCACUCCUCUCCUUCCCAGAAUACAGAUUUUUACCUGGUCCCCCUUGUGGCUGAUGCUAUUAAAAAUCUACAAACUAGAGGGAGCUGUGUAAUCUGUAGCUAUGCCAAAACCUUACUCUCCUCCCACCUACCCCAUCAACAUUGAAGAGCAACAGCCAGAUGCCAUUAGAAGAGGAGAGCUAGCAAGCAUCCUUCCAGUAUUAGUCACAGGGCUGGGAGAAUGCAAGGAAAUGCAAAAGAAAGAAAAUUUGAGACAAAGGGGCACAAAAUUAAAGGAAAACCUAUAAAUGAAGAUUGUAUCUCUGGGACUUGAAAUGAUAGAAGUCUCAGUCCUACAGUGGAAGUAAGUGCAAUUCAAUUCAACAGACAUUUAUUGAUAGUUCCUCCAAUCUAGAACUCGUGUCUCAAAUAUAAAUACU